rnacentral:rRNA from 1 species
AUGAACGCUGACAGAAUGCUUAACACCUGCAAGUCAACUUGAAUUUGGGUUUUUAACUUCGGUUUGGGUGGCGGACGGGUGAGUAACGCGUAAAGAACUUGCCUCACAGCUAGGGACAACAUUUGGAAACGAAUGCUAAUACUUAAUAUUAUGAUAAUAGGGCAUCCUAUAAUUAUGAAAGCUAUAAGCGCUGUGAGAGAGCUUUGCGUCCCAUUAGCUAGUUGGAGAGGUAACGGCUCACCAAGGCGAUGAUGGGUAGCCGGCCUGAGAGGGUGAUCGGCCACAAGGGGACUGAGACACGGCCCUUACUCCUACGGGAGGCAGCAGUGGGGAAUAUUGGACAAUGGACCAAGAGUCUGAUCCAGCAAUUCUGUGUGCACGAUGAAGUUUUUCGGAAUGUAAAGUGCUUUCAGUUGGGAAGAAAGAAAUGACGGUACCAACAGAAGAAGUGACGGCUAAAUACGUG